CCUGACCUUACAGGCAUUGCAGAUGUGACUGCUGUGUCACAUGUCCACCAGUAGGUGGCACAGAGGAGAAAGGCUGUGUUUACAUUCAGUGCUCUGCCCUAUGAACAUCUAAAUGCUUAGUAGCUAACAUC